rnacentral:rRNA from 1 species
CCAGACUCCUACGGGAGGCAGCAGUGGGGAAUAUUGGGCAAUGGGGGAAACCCUGACCCAGCAACGCCGCGUGAAGGAAGAAGGCUUUCGGGUUGUAAACUUCUUUUACCAGGGACGAAGAAAGUGACGGUACCUGGAGAAAAAGCUCCGGCUAACUACGUGCCAGCAGCCGCGGUAAUACGUAGGGAGCGAGCGUUGUCCGGAUUUACUGGGUGUAAAGGGCGUGUAGGCGGAGCUGCAAGUCAGAAGUGAAAUCUCCGGGCUCAACCCGGAAACUGCUUUUGAAACUGUAGCCCUUGAGUAUCGGAGAGGCAGGCGGAAUUCCUAGUGUAGCGGUGAAAUGCGUAGAUAUUAGGAGGAACACCAGUGGCGAAGGCGGCCUGCUGGACGACAACUGACGCUGAGGCGCGAAAGCGUGGGGAGCAAACAGGAUUAGAUACCCCAGUA